rnacentral:rRNA from 1 species
UAAUACGAAGGGUGCAAGCGUUACUCGGAAUUACUGGGCGUAAAGCGUGCGUAGGUGGUUGUUUAAGUCUGUCGUGAAAGCCCUGGGCUCAACCUGGGAAUUGCGAUGGAUACUGGGCGACUAGAAUGUGGUAGAGGGUGGCGGAAUUCCCGGUGUAGCAGUGAAAUGCGUAGAGAUCGGGAGGAACAUCCGUGGCGAAGGCGGCCACCUGGACCAACAUUGACACUGAGGCACGAAAGCGUGGGGAGCAAACAGG